UACGUAGGGUGCGAGCGUUAAUCGGAAUUACUGGGCGUAAAGCGUGCGCAGGCGGUUUUGUAAGCCAGAUGUGAAAUCCCCGGGCUUAACCUGGGAAUGGCAUUUGGGACUGCAAGGCUGGAGUUUGGCAGAGGAGACUGGAAUUCCUGGUGUAGCAGUGAAAUGCGUAGAUAUCAGGAGGAAUACCGAUGACGAAGGCAGGUCUCUGGGCUGAAACUGACGCUCAUGCACGAAAGCGUGGGGAGCAAACAGG
rnacentral:rRNA from 1 species